UACAGAGGUCUCAAGCGUUGUUCGGAUUCAUUGGGCGUAAAGGGUGCGUAGGUGGCAUGGUAAGUCGGAUGUGAAAUCCCGGGGCUCAACCCCGGAACUGCAUUCGAUACUGCCAGGCUAGAGUACUGGAGAGGAGAUUGGAAUUUACGGUGUAGCAGUGAAAUGCGUAGAUAUCGUAAGGAAGACCGGUGGCGAAGGCGGGUCUCUGGACAGUUCCUGACACUGAGGCACGAAGGCCAGGGGAGCAAACGGG
rnacentral:rRNA from 1 species